UACGGAGGAUCCAAGCGUUAUCCGGAUUUAUUGGGUUUAAAGGGUGCGUAGGCGGACGUUUAAGUCAGUGGUGAAAGUUUGCAGCUCAACUGUAAAAUUGCCAUUGAAACUGAAUGUCUUGAGUGUAAAUGAGGUAGGCGGAAUGUGUUGUGUAGCGGUGAAAUGCUUAGAUAUGACACAGAACACCGAUUGCGAAGGCAGCUUACUAAGAUACAACUGACGCUGAGGCACGAAAGCGUGGGGAUCGAACAGG
rnacentral:rRNA from 1 species